GGAGACCAUCUCUCUGGAUUCCAGAAGGCAUGAGGACCCAGAUGCUAUACAGUGGGAAAACCAGCCUGGCAACAUAGUGCGUAUUAAUAAAAGGACACCACAUCCUGCCAAAUUCCAGCUGCGCUAAUUGUAUUGUGUUCACAGAGCUCACAAGCUAUCAGAAAGUUGUAUGGCAACCACCUCCGGCGCCAAAUAGAACUGGCAGACAUAGACAUUCAGUACAAGAAGAAAAAGAUGGAAAAUCUUGCACUGGAGUCCGAAAUAAAGAGGACAAUUAGGAAACUGGACCUUGAAAUAAAAAAACUUGAGAGGGAGCUCCAAGAAGAUGACACAGCUCAAAAUAAAAAUUAGCAAUCAGUACAAC